GAUGAACGCUGGCGGCGUGCCUAAUACAUGCAAGUCGAGCGAACAGAUAAGGAGCUUGCUCCUUUGACGUUAGCGGCGGACGGGUGAGUAACACGUGGGUAACCUACCUAUAAGACUGGGAUAACUUCGGGAAACCGGAGCUAAUACCGGAUAACAUUUGGAACCGCAUGGUUCUAAAGUGAAAGAUGGUUUUGCUAUCACUUAUAGAUGGACCCGCGCCGUAUUAGCUAGUUGGUAAGGUAACGGCUUACCAAGGCGACGAUACGUAGCCGACCUGAGAGGGGGAUCGGCCACACUGGAACUGAGACACGGUCCAGACUCCUACGGGAGGCAGCAGUAGGGAAUCUUCCGCAAUGGGCGAGAGCCUGACGGAGCAACGCCGCGUGAGUGAUGAAGGGUUUCGGCUCGUAAAACUCUGUUAUUAGGGAAGAACAAACGUGUAAGUAACUGUGCACGUCUUGACGGUACCUAAUCAGAAAGCCACGGCUAACUACGUGCCAGCAGCCGCAGUAA
rnacentral:rRNA from 1 species